rnacentral:rRNA from 1 species
AUGGCGGGUGGCGGCGCUCCGGCGGCUCCUGGCGCGUGGAUCCGGCGGGCGGGGAUGCGGACUGCGGCUCCUGGCUGCUCGACGAGACCCCUCCCGGCGAUGCUGCGGCUGCAGUGGGUUGCUCGGGCUUUGGCCCGGCAGCCCUGCUCGGCGGGAUGGGGUGGGGUGGCGGCCCCCCUCCCGGCUUGGUGCUAUGGAGCUGGUCGGCUUGCUAGCCCUGCGUGGCUGGCAGCGUGGUGGCGUGGCGGCGGGGCCAGGCCGGUGGUCCAGCCACUUCUCUCUUUCCUGCCAGAUCCAAGUCAGGGGCGGCUAGGUGCUAGCAUAUUCUUGAUUUCAUCUGUCAUCAUCAGCAACUGUGGAUCGAUAACUGGGGGAGCGACCCUUUCCCAAAAAUGGCGAACAGCUAUAUGGCCAUAUCUUCCUGGCAUUCAUGGUUUUUGCCAUCAACUCAUCAUCCACCAUGAUCUUUAG